rnacentral:rRNA from 1 species
CCUACGGGGGGCUGCAGUGGGGAAUAUUGGACAAUGGGGGGAACCCUGAUCCAGCCAUGCCGCGUGUGUGAAGAAGGCCCUCGGGUUGUAAAGCACUUUCAGUGAGGAAGAACGCCUGGUGGUUAAUACCCAUCAGGAAAGACAUCACUCACAGAAGAAGCACCGGCUAACUCCGUGCCAGCAGCCGCGGUAAUACGGAGGGUGCGAGCGUUAAUCGGAAUUACUGGGCGUAAAGCGCGCGUAGGUGGCUUGAUAAGCCGGUUGUGAAAGCCCCGGGCUCAACCUGGGAACGGCAUCCGGAACUGUCAAGCUAGAGUGCAGGAGAGGAAGGUAGAAUUCCCGGUGUAGCGGUGAAAUGCGUAGAGAUCGGGAGGAAUACCAGUGGCGAAGGCGGGCUUCUGGACUGACACUGACACUGAGGUGCGAAAGCGUGGGUAGCAAACAGGAUUAGAUACCCCGGUAGUG